rnacentral:rRNA from 1 species
GCUUGUCUCAAAGAUUAAGCCAUGCAUGUCUAAGUAUAAACUGCUUUAUACUGUGAAACUGCGAAUGGCUCAUUAAAUCAGUUAUAGUUUAUUUGAUGGUACUUACUUACUCGGAUAACCGUAGUAAUUCUAGAGCUAAUACGUGCGUAAAUCCCGACUUCUGGAAGGGACGUAUUUAUUAGAUAAAAGGCCAGCCGGGCUUUGCCCGACCUGCGGUGAAUCAUGAUAACUUCACGAAUCGUAUGGCCUUGUGCCGACGAUGUUUCAUUCAAAUUUCUGCCCUAUCAUGCUCUCGAUGGUAGUGUAUUGGACUACCAUGGCUCUCACGGGUAACGGGGAAUUAGGGUUCGAUUCCGGAGAAGGAGCCUGAGAAACGGCUACUACAUCUAAGGAAGGCAGCAGG